rnacentral:lncRNA from 1 species
AGUUCUAAAACAAAAAGUUCAUUUCUUACUUUGGGCCGCCCACAGUUCACAAUCAAAUCAGACCUUAAGUUUGAAUAACAUAAUAUUACCUUGAUGUUGUAUAAACCACUAAGAAAAUCCUUUUAUUACAUUUAACAUAUAAUACAACAACUUAGUCUUCUAGAGCUCAUGCUCUACCUAUCCUUAUGCUUCUUAAUCUG